CAGAUGCAUGAUGACAGAUAAGCUGCAACAAGUUUCAUUACAAGUCAUGGCUGAUUUUUAGCACUUUUCCUUUUUAUGUUUUGUUUUCAGGUUCUAGUAGCUAUGAUUUGUCCAGCUUACAGAGCCUAAUUUAUCCUUUUUCAUAGAUGUUGAUGAGAAAUCAGAAGGUAAAUGAAGAGGCAGCGCUUCACAUGCCUAGUGACAUCCAUAAUUUAAUUCCUUGUGGUGAUGUGGCAGGCUUGCUGGCAAUUAAUGUGAAACAGUGCAAAGAUUUUACCUCCAAAUUCAAUGUUAAACGUGACACCUACUUAUUGAUUCGUAUUAGUAUUGAUAAAAUUAUGAAAUGCACAAAUCCCCAGUUGUACAGACCACAGUUCAGGUCCAGAAAGUUGAGUACAAUCUAUUUCGGAGAUGUGAGAUACUUUUCUGU